GAUGAACGCUGGCGGCGUGCCUAAUACAUGCAAGUCGAGCGAACGGACGAGAAGCUUGCUUUUCUGAUGUUAGCGGCGGACGGGUGAGUAACACGUGGAUAACCUACCUAUAAGACUGGGAUAACUUCGGGAAACCGGAGCUAAUACCGGAUAAUAUUUUGAACCGCAUGGUUCAAAAGUGAAAGACGGUCUUGCUGUCACUUAUAGAUGGAUCCGCGCUGCAUUAGCUAGUUGGUAAGGUAACGGCUUACCAAGGCAACGAUGCAUAGCGGACCUGAGAGGGGGAUCAGCCACACUGGAACUGAGACACGGCCCAGACCCCUACGGAAGGCAGCAGUGGGGAAUCUUCCGCAAUGGACGAAAGCCGGACGGGGCAACGCGACGUGAGUAAUGAAGGUCUUCGGAUCGAAAAACACUGUUAUGAGGGAGAAACAUAUGAGUAAGAAACUGUGCACAUCUGAACGGAACCUAAUCAGAAGGCCACGGCAAACUACUG
rnacentral:rRNA from 1 species